CUGGAUUGUGACCAGGCCAUCUCCUUACAUGUCUUGCUGCACCAGCAUGAGCAGUGAUCCCUUCUGUUCAAAAUUUUCAGGCAACAUCGCAAUGAGGCAAAACAUUGUGCCGAAUCUGCCGUACAAAGAGUGUUCAAAGCUUCACGCUACUAACGGACGAAUACAUAAGCAUUCAUUUACUUUGAAAGAAUAAAGGAAUUCUAUAGCUUCAUACAAAUUCGCCUAUCAGCAACUCUCCCUGGUCGUUCAAAAGUUGCUUGACGAUUCUACCAUCUCCAUACUAUGAAGGAGCGCUUCUUCAUUUCUUCAUUUUAUCGGAACCUUAACGUAUCCUUCCAACACAAUGUCCAUGGACAACGGUAAUGAGGUCGGCGCCUACGAGUUUGACCGGAACGCCCUGGACAACAUCGCCCGUCGGCGACAAGAUCGNCCACGCAAGAAAUACAGCCAG
rnacentral:lncRNA from 1 species